GACGUAGGGCGCGAGCGUUGUCCGGAUUUAUUGGGCGUAAAGAGCUCGUAGGCGGCUCGUUGCGUCGGCUGUGAAAUCCCGCGGCUCAACUGCGGGCUGGCAGUCGAUACGGGGCAGGCUGGAGUUCGGUAGGGGAGACGUGGAAUUCCUGGUGUAGCGGUGAAAUGCGCAGAUAUCAGGAGGAACACCGGUGGCGAAGGCGGGUCUCUGGGCCGAUGACUGACGUGAGGAGCGAAAGCGUGGGGAGCGAACAGG
rnacentral:rRNA from 1 species